GGCCAAGUUUUUAAGGGCGCACGGUGGAUGCCUUGGCACCAGGAACCGAUGAAGGACGUGGGAGGCCACGAUAGUCCCCGGGGAGCCGUCAACCAGGCUGUGAUCCGGGGGUGUCCGAAUGGGGAAACCCGGCAGUCGUCAUGGGCUGUCACCCAUACCUGAACACAUAGGGUAUGCGGAGGGAACGCGGGGAAGUGAAACAUCUCAGUACCCGCAGGAAGAGAAAACAACCGUGAUUCCGGGAGUAGUGGCGAGCGAAACCGGACGAGGCCAAACCGCAUGCGUGCGAGACCCGGCAGGGGUUGCGCAUGCGGGGUUGUGGGAUCUCUCUUCCACGGUCUGCCGGCCGUGGGACGAGUCAGAAACCGUUGACGUAGGCGAAGGACAUGCGAAAGGUCCGGCGCAGAGGGUAAGACCCCCGUAGCCGAAACGUCAGCGGCUCGUUGGAGAGACACCCAAGUAGCACGGGGCCCGAGAAAUCCCGUGUGAAUCCGGCGGGACCACCCGCCAAGCCUAAAUAUUCCCUGGUGACCGAUAGCGGACAGUACCGUGAGGGAAUGGUGAAAAGUACCCCGGGAGGGGAGUGAAAUAGUACCUGAAACCGUGUGCCUACAAGCCGUGGGAGCGUCGCGUUGAGUGCUUGCACUCAACGUCGUGACUGCGUGCCUUUUGAAGAAUGAGCCUGCGAGUUUGCGGUGUGUUGCGAGGUUAACCCGGGUGGGGAAGCCGUAGCGAAAGCGAGUCCGAACAGGGCGCUUUUAGUAGCACGCUCAAGACCCGAAGCGGAGUGAUCUAGCCAUGGGCAGGUUGAAGCGGCUGUAAGAGGUCGUGGAGGACCGAACCCACCAGGGUUGAAAACCUGGGGGAUGACCUGUGGUUAGGGGUGAAAGGCCAAUCAAACUCCGUGAUAGCUGGUUCUCCCCGAAAUGCAUUUAGGUGCAGCGUCGUGUGUUUCUUGCCGGAGGUAGAGCACUGGAUAGGCGAUGGGCCCUACCGGGUUACUGACCUUAGCCAAACUCCGAAUGCCGGCAAGUGAGAGCGCGGCAGUGAGACCGUGGGGGAUAAGCUCCAUGGUCGAGAGGGAAACAGCCCAGAGCAUCGACUAAGGCCCCCAAGCGUACGCUAAGUGGGAAAGGAUGUGGAGUCGCACAGACAACCAGGAGGUUGGCUUAGAAGCAGCCACCCUUGAAAGAGUGCGUAAUAGCUCACUGGUCUAGUGAUUCCGCGCCGACAAUGUAGCGGGGCUCAAGCGUACCGCCGAAGUCGUGUCAUUGCANNNNNNNNNNNNNNNNNNNNNNNNNNNNNNNNNNNNNNNNNNNNNNNNNNNNNNNNNNNNNNNNNNNNNNNNNNNNNNNNNNNNNNNNNNNNNNNUGGAUGGGUAGGGGAGCGUCGUGUGCCGGGUGAAGCAGCCGCGGAAGCGAGUUGUGGACGGUUCACGAGUGAGAAUGCAGGCAUGAGUAGCGAUUCACACGUGAGAAACGUGUGCGCCGAUUGACCAAGGGUUCCUGGGUCAAGCUGAUCUGCCCAGGGUAAGUCGGGACCUAAGGCGAGGCCGACAGGCGUAGUCGAUGGACAACCGGUUGAUAUUCCGGUACCCGCUGUGAAGCGACAGACACCGAGCAUCGUGAUGCUAAGGCCGUGAAGCCGUUCCGGACCCUUCGGGGAAAGGAAAGUGGUGGAGCCGCCGGCCCAAGCGGUUAGUAGGUGAGUGAUGGGGUGACGCAGGAAGGCAGUCCAGCCCGGGCGGUGGUUGUCCCGGGGCAAGGGUGUAGGCCGUGCGAUAGGCAAAUCCGUCGCGCAUCAAGGCUGAGACCCGAUGCCGAGCCGAUUGCGGCGAAGUGGAUGAUCCUAUGCUGUCGAGAAAAGCCUCUAGCGAGUUUCACGGCGGCCCGUACCCUAAACCGACUCAGGUGGUCAGGUAGAGAAUACCGAGGCGUUCGGGUGAACUAUGGUUAAGGAACUCGGCAAAAUGCCCCCGUAACUUCGGGAGAAGGGGGGCCAUCACCGGUGAUCCGAUUUACUCGGUGAGCUGGGGGUGGCCGCAGAGACCAGCGAGAAGCGACUGUUUACUAAAAACACAGGUCCGUGCGAAGCCGUAAGGCGAGGUAUACGGACUGACGCCUGCCCGGUGCUGGAACGUUAAGGGGACCGGUCAGUCAGGAUUCGUCCUGGCGAAGCUGAGAACUUAAGCGCCAGUAAACGGCGGUGGUAACUAUAACCAUCCUAAGGUAGCGAAAUUCCUUGUCGGGUAAGUUCCGACCUGCACGAAUGGCGUAACGACUUCUCGACUGUCUCAACCAUAGGCCCGGUGAAAUUGCACUACGAGUAAAGAUGCUCGUUUCGCGCAGCAGGACGGAAAGACCCCGGGACCUUUACUACAGUUUGAUAUUGGUGUUCGGUUCGGCUUGUGUAGGAUAGCUGGGAGACCGUGAAGCCGCCACGCCAGUGGUGGUGGAGUCGUCGUUGAAAUACCAGUCUGGUCGUGCUGGAUGUCUAACCUGGGUCCGUGAUCCGGAUCAGGGACAGUGUCUGAUGGGUAGUUUAACUGGGGCGGUUGCCUCCUAAAGGGUAACGGAGGCGCCCAAAGGUUCCCUCAGCCUGGUUGGCAAUCAGGUGGUGAGUGUAAGUGCACAAGGGAGCUUGACUGUGAGACCGACGGGUCGAGCAGGGACGAAAGUCGGGACUAGUGAUCCGGCGGUGGCUUGUGGAAGCGCCGUCGCUCAACGGAUAAAAGGUACCCCGGGGAUAACAGGCUGAUCUUCCCCAAGAGUCCAUAUCGACGGGAUGGUUUGGCACCUCGAUGUCGGCUCGUCGCAUCCUGGGGCUGGAGUCGGUCCCAAGGGUUGGGCUGUUCGCCCAUUAAAGCGGUACGCGAGCUGGGUUUAGAACGUCGUGAGACAGUUCGGUCCCUAUCCGCUGCGCGCGCAGGAGUCUUGAGAAGGGCUGUCCCUAGUACGAGAGGACCGGGACGGACGAACCUCUGGUGUGCCAGUUGUUCUGCCAAGGGCAUGGCUGGUUGGCUACGUUCGGGAGGGAUAACCGCUGAAAGCAUCUAAGCGGGAAGCCUGCUUCGAGAUGAGGACUCCCACCCACUUGAUGGGGUAAGGCUCCCAGCAGACGACUGGGUUGAUAGGCCGGAUAUGGAAGCGCCGUAAGGUGUGGAGUUGACCGGUACUAAUAGGCCGAGGGCUUGUCCUC
rnacentral:rRNA from 1 species